AUAUAGAGCUGGACUAUUCUCGAACCCCCCUUAAGAGGGGUUGUAGAAUAGCUAUUCUCAAACCCCCUAUUCCCGCUUUAGUUUCUUAUCCCAAAACCGCCCCAUCUGAACGCCCGAGAAAAGCAGGUACCACCGCCCACGCGGAACCACCUCGGGCUGACCCAAACGCCCCCCAUCGCUCGUCAACCCCCACGCGACCCAGUCGCCCGCCUGUGCCCCUUCCACGAGCUCCGGCGUGCCGCCGGCGGGUCAGCGAGCCACCUCCCCGACCUCCCAUGCCCCGCGGCGGGCCACACUUCCUCAACCACCUUCUGCGCUGCGUUGGCAGGCCACCGUGCACCCCGCGCCGCCCUCCCCUUCUAGGAUGAGGGCAUCCGUCCCGGCGCCGCCAAAUUCGCCUCCAAAUCGCGCGCAUCCCGCCCGGCGAUGCCCUGCCGCGCGCACCGAUAGGUUCUCCACUCUGCCUCAUGCGCUCCCCUUCCCUAGUAGCCCCCCCGCCCCCUUCUUCCCUGAUGGAUCCGAUGGAUCUCUGGCCGGAUUACCUCCACGCCACUGCCGCUGGCGCCCCUCCACUGCUAGGAGUUCACCUUCCCCUGGCCCGAUCUGGAGCACACCGGCAUAGCCCACCCUUCCCUCCUCGUCCACAUGCCCCGGAGCCUUUCUGAACCCCCGUGGUACUUGCGCGAGCAACGACCAUCCCUGGCCAUCUGUGUUGUUGCUGGAUGCACGACGCCUGCCUUUGUGGCUGCCCCUAUUCUGCUUUUGGGCCGUGGGUGCGGCUCCUAUCCCGGCACGCUGUUUCACUUCCUUCUUUCCCUGAACUAAUGCGUGAAGUCUAGAAGUUCAGCUCGUCCUAAUGCCUGUAGUUGGCUUUUAAAUACUUCAGGUUAUUCACUUCUUACACUGUUGGAUGGAUGACUCUGUUCCUUUUCUUUUAGCCGGUAUAUCAUGGGUGCACUGCACGGUGUGCAUUUCUUUCGUGAGGGAGUUCGCCUCUCUGUAGGAUUGCUUUAGUUACUUUUUUUUGGAUAAAACCAUUUCCUGCUAGUUGAUGUAGAAUUGUCGGCGAUGCUUAAACUUCUGAAUACAGCUGCAGGUGUGCUGAGAUUUUUAUACAAAUGGUGUAUUCGUGAUUUAUAUUCGCCAAAGUUUAGAUAAUUACAUCACACAAACUAAUUUCAUAAUUUUUUUGCAUCUGGUCCACCAAGAGAGCCACCGCUAGGAGUGCCUGCACCGUUGGGUGCUAUUUCUGACUUGCUCCAGCUGCUGAACUGAACUGGCAGUGCACUUAUGACACCUAUGGGGAGUUCACUAGCGCUCAUCGCUAGAUUUCGCCAGGAACCAUGGCGGGAGUCCAACUUGAAGCGCAGCACCCGCAGGUUGUGGGUACUAUUCUGAUUCUCGAGAGGAAGUUCACUUUGGAUUGAAAAAUAGUUCUAUCAGGACGCACAUGGAGCCCUCCAAUUGAAGAAGUUAUCUAGUC